AGAAAGUGAGAAAAAGGAGUAAAGCACAUAUACUUUAAAGAAAUGUAAAAGAAAGUCUUCUUAACUAUCUCUAUAUUUGAACCACCAAACCAAACUCUUUAGUACAUCCGAAAUGUGAAGAUAACUCAUGAACCUUGUCACUUAUUCUGAGUUACUUUCACUUUCUUGUACAAACAACUGUUCAAUGCUUGUUACUGAGUGUUCUCGAACACCCAUAGGUGCUUCUACACUUGGAAUACCCUGGACGCUUCUAUACUUGAAACACUCUCGAGUGCUUCCUUGUUUGUAACACCUUGGGGUGCUUUCGCGUUCGAAACACCUUGGAGUGUUCAGAACACUCAUAGGUGCUUCACACUUGGAAUACUCUAGGCGAUUAUAUGCUUGGAACACGCCUGAGCGCUUCCCUACUUGAAAUAUCUUGGGCGCUUCCACGUUAGGAACACGUUGGAGCUAUUCCGCUUUCGGAACACCCUGGGCACUUCCACCUUCGGAACACGUGCUUCUACGCUUGGAACACUCUUGAGCGUUUCCUUACUUGGAAC
rnacentral:lncRNA from 1 species